rnacentral:tRNA from 1 species
GGUAGCAUGGCGUAGUGGUUUGAGCAUUGGACUAUGACUCUGAAGACCAGGGUUCAAUUCCCGGCUUGGCCG